rnacentral:rRNA from 1 species
GACGAACGCUGGUGGCGUGCUUAACACAUGCAAGUCGAACGGGAUUUAGUAAACAGAAGCCUCGGUGGAAGAUUACUAAUGAGAGUGGCGAACGGGUGAGUAACGCGUGAGCAACCUGCCUAUGACAGUGGGAUAGCCUCGGGAAACCGGGAUUAAUACCGCAUAAAAUCGUAGAAACACAUGUUUUAACGGUCAAAGAUUUAUCGGUCAUAGAUGGGCUCGCGUCUGAUUAGCUAGUUGGUGAGAUAACAGCCCACCAAGGCGACGAUCAGUAGCCGGUCUGAGAGGAUGAACGGCCACAUUGGAACUGAGACACGGUCCAAACUCCUACGGGAGGCAGCAGUGGGGAAUAUUGCACAAUGGGGGAAACCCUGAUGCAGCGACGCCGCGUGAACGAAGAAGGUGUUCGUAUCGUAAAGUUCUGUCCUAUGGGAAGAUAAUGACAGUACCAUAGAAGAAAGCUCCGGCUAAAUACGUG